AGUGAACGCUGGCGGUAGGCCUAACACAUGCAAGUCGAACGGCAGCACAGUAAGAGCUUGCUCUUACGGGUGGCGAGUGGCGGACGGGUGAGGAAUACAUCGGAAUCUACUUUUUCGUGGGGGAUAACGUAGGGAAACUUACGCUAAUACCGCAUACGACCUACGGGUGAAAGCAGGGGAUCUUCGGACCUUGCGCGAUUGAAUGAGCCGAUGUCGGAUUAGCUAGUUGGCGGGGUAAAGGCCCACCAAGGCGACGAUCCGUAGCUGGUCUGAGAGGAUGAUCAGCCACACUGGAACUUAGACACGGUCCAGACUCCUACGGGAGGCCGCAGUGGGGAAUAUUGGACAAUGGGCGCAAGCCUGAUCCAGCCAUACCGCGUGGGUGAAGAAGGCCUUCGGGUUGUAAAGCCCUUUUGUUGGGAAAGAAAAGCAGCAGGUUAAUACCCCGCUGUUCUGACGGUACCCAAAGAAUAAGCACCGGCUAACUUCGUG
rnacentral:rRNA from 1 species